AUACGUAGGGUGCGAGCGUUGUCCGGAAUUACUGGGCGUAAAGAGCUCGUAGGUGGUUUGUCGCGUCGUCUGUGAAAUUCCGGGGCUUAACUCCGGGCGUGCAGGCGAUACGGGCAUAACUUGAGUACUGUAGGGGAGACUGGAAUUCCUGGUGCAGCGGUGAAAUGCGCAGAUAUCAGGAGGAACACCGGUGGCGAAGGCGGGUCUCUGGGCAGUAACUGACGCUGAGGAGCGAAAGCAUGGGUAGCGAACAGGAUUAGAUACCCUGGUAGUCCAUGCCGUAAACGGUGGGCGCUAGGUGUAGGGGUCUUCCACGACUUCUGUGCCGUAGCUAACGCAUUAAGCGCCCCGCCUGGGGAGUACGGCCGCAAGGCUAAAACUCAAAGGAAUUGACGGGG
rnacentral:rRNA from 1 species